rnacentral:tRNA from 1 species
CACCGCGUAGAGCGCCCGGCUCAGCGCCAGCCGCUGCCACUGGCCGCCGGACAGUUCCGUCCCGCCCGUGUAGGC